CUCCGAUGAAGGUGACGAUGACGAUGACGAGCAGCCGCUGUCCCAGGAGCGCCCCCUGCAGGCCCGUGGUGACGAUGAAGGUGACGAUGAUGAUGACGAGCAGUCACUGGCGCGGGCCCAGGAGCGCCUCCUGCAGAUCAUGGACGCCCCCUGGGAGGCCGCUGACGAUGAAGGUGACGAUGAUGAGGAUGAG